AGGACGAACGCUGGCGGUGUGCUUAACACAUGCAAGUCGUGGGCACCAGCAAUGGUGACCGGCGAACGGGUGCGUAACACGUAAGCGACCUACCGAUUUGAGGGGAUAGCCGGCCCAACGGCCGGGUAAUACCGCAUACGCCAGGCGAGCUUCAUGGCUUGCUUGGGAAACCUCAGGGGCAAAUCGAGGGGCUUGCGGCCUAUCAGCUAGUUGGCGGGGUAAUGGCCCACCAAGGCUACGACGGGUAGCUGGU
rnacentral:rRNA from 1 species